CGGGCGGUGGCGUUGCUGGAGCGCGCUGGCUCGACGCCGGCGGCCCGUAACGGUUGGGUCCCGGUCCCACCGCCUGGC
rnacentral:tRNA from 1 species